rnacentral:rRNA from 1 species
CACCGGCGGCUCGAGUGGUGGCCACUUUUAUUGGGUCUAAAGCGUCCGUAGCCGGCUUGGCAAGUCCCCUGGGAAAUCUGGCGGCUUAACCGUCAGGCGUCCAGAGGAUACUGCCAGGCUUGGGACCGGGAGAGGUGAGAGGUACCUCAGGGGUAGGGGUGAAAUCUUGUGAUCCCUGAGUGACCACCAGUGGCGAAGGCGUCUCACUAGAACGGGUCCGACGGUCAGGGACGAAAGCUGGGGGCACGAACCGG